CCCAGGGGCUGCCGCGGCCCCGCGCUGCCCCAAGCCCCGCGCACCUCUCGCCCAGGUAGUCCCCGAUGGCGGUCUUGUUGAGGCCCUCUCCCUUAUAAAGGAACUGAGCGAUGUCCUCGCAUGUGUUCUUCAGCAAGUCGUUUUCGAUCAGGAACUGGAUGCCCUGCAGCGGUGCGAGAGGCGCGGCUCUGGGGCGCACCUGGCCCACGGGGUGGCAGAGCUCCAGCGCUGCCCUUGCUCUCCAGAGCCCGGUACCAGACCCCAGUACCUUCUUGGGAUCCAUGUUGAACUUCUUCCUGCCCAUUGCCACCU